AUGCCCCUACGGGGGGCAGCAGUGGGGGAUAUUGCACAAUGGGGGAAACCCUGAUGCAGCGACGCCGCGUGGGUGAAGAAGCGCCUCGGCGCGUAAAGCCCUGUCAGCAGGGAAGAAAAUGACGGUACCUGAAGAAGAAGCCCCGGCUAACUACGUGCCAGCAGCCGCGGUAAUACGUAGGGGGCAAGCGUUAUCCGGCUUUACUGGGUGUAAAGGGGGCGCAGACGGCGAUGCACGCCAGUAGUGAAAGCCCGGGGCCCAACCCCGCGACUG
rnacentral:rRNA from 1 species